UACAGAGGGUGCGAGCGUUGUUCGGAAUUAUUGGGCGUAAAGGGCGCGUAGGCGGUGCGGUAAGUCACCUGUGAAAUCUCCUGGCUUAACUGGGAGCCUGCAGGCGAAACUACCGUGCUGGAGUGUGGGAGAGGGUAGUGGAAUUCCCGGUGUAGCGGUGAAAUGCGUAGAUAUCGGGAGGAACAUCAGUGGCGAAGGCGGCUACCUGGCCCAAUACUGACACUCAGGUGCGACAGCGUGGGGAGCAAACAGG
rnacentral:rRNA from 1 species